GACGAACCGUGCGAACGUUGUUCGGAAUCACUGGGCUUAAAGGGCGCGUAGGCGGGUGACCAAGUCCGGGGUGAAAUCUUUCGGCUCAACCGGAAAAUAGCCUUGGAUACUGGUUGCCUUGAGGGAGGUAGGGGCAUGCGGAACUUCCGGUGGAGCGGUGAAAUGUGUUGAUAUCGGAAGGAACGCCGGUGGCGAAAGCGGCGUGCUGGACCUCUUCUGACGCUGAGGCGCGAAAGCUAGGGGAGCGAACGGG
rnacentral:rRNA from 1 species